rnacentral:rRNA from 1 species
AUGCAUGAAGAACUCAACAACUUCGAGCACAGCAAGGUGUGGAGAUUGGUGCCAAGGCCAACGGGGAAUCAUAAUGUCAUUGGAACCAAGUGGAUAUUCAAGAACAAGCAAGAUACUCAUGGGAUUAUCGUUUGCAACAAGGCUCGGUUGGUAGCACAAGGCUACUCCCAAGUCGAGGGUAUCGACUACGGUGAAAUCUUCUCUCUUGUUGCUCGCCUUGAAUCCAUUCGUUUGUUGAUUGCUUGUGCUUCUCAUCAUAACUUUAAGUUGGAACAAAUGGAUGUGAAGAGUGAUUUUCUUAAUGGUCCUAUUAAUGAGUUGGUAUAUGUCAAACAACCCCCGGGGUUCGAGGAUCCCUAUUUCCCCUAUCGCGUGUACCAACUCGAUAAGGCGCUAUAUGACCUUAAACAAGCCCCACGUGCGUGGUAUGAGCACCUUACCGAGUUGUUACAAGAUCGUGGGUUUGAAAUUGGGAAAAUCAACCCCACUCUUUUUACCAAGAAGGUCAAAGGGGAGUUGUUUGUAUGCCAACUAUAUGUUGAUGAUAUUAUCUUUGGUUCCCCUAACAAAGCUUUCAAUGAGGAGUUUGCCGCUCUCAUGACCUCAAAGUUCAAUAUGUCCAUGAUGGGAGAGUUGAAGUUCUUUCUCGGGUUCGAAAUCAAGCAAAGAAGAGAAGGAACCUUCAUCAACCAAGCCAAAUACACUCAAGACAUGCUCAAGAGAUUCAAGCUAAGUGAUGUCAAGCCGGCUUCCACUCCAAUGCCCGUCAAAUGCCAACUUGAUAUAGAUCCCAAUGGUAAAGCGGUGGAUCAAAAGGUAUAUCGCUCCAUGAUUGGCUCCUUGCUUUACCUUUGUGCAUCUAGACCGGAUAUCAUGUUGAGUGUGGGAAUUUGUGCACGGUUUCAAGCUGCACCUAAGGAAAGCCACUGUGUGACGGUCAAGCGAAUCUUUUGA